UACGUAGGGGGCAAGCGUUGUCCGGAAUCAUUGGGCGUAAAGCGCGUGUAGGCGGCCCGGUAAGUCCGCUGUGAAAGUCCAGGGCUCAACCCUGGAAUGCCGGUGGAUACUGUCGGGCUCGAGUCCGGAAGAGGAGAGUGGAAUUCCUGGUGUAGCGGUGGAAUGCGCAGAUAUCAGGAGGAACACCAAUGGCGAAGGCAGCUCUCUGGUACGUGACUGACGCUGAGACGCGAAAGCGUGGGGAGCGAACAGG
rnacentral:rRNA from 1 species